CUGGGGACAGAGAGGAGAAGGCGUGACACUCAGGGGUGCAGAGACAGGAGCGGGCGCCCCACGCCCCUACCCCAGCCUCUGGGGACUGAGUGCCGUUGGGUGGAGAGGUCGGAGCUGACUCUCUGGAGAAAUGGCCGAAGACGCCCCUUCCCAUCCCCAACCCACUCUCCCUUGGAGAAGAGAAGGGGCGUGUUUCCACCUCGCUGUAACCCAGCGCCAAACCCUUCCCCUCCCCGCAAGGCGCGUAACGGUUCCUGCAAUCUGGGGACAACGCUGCGGGCAUCGAGGCGGUGGCGCUUGAUUUCCUUUAAAGUACCUACCACGCCACCCGCUACCUGUAAUAAUCCAUCUGAAGAGGUCGCCGGGCAGCGCCUCGGCAGACAGACUGACCUGCGGGGAGGUGCGGUUUCCAGUGGCGCGGGACAGCCGGCUCCGAGAAGGAACUGGGACCUUUGCCUAGGGCAAGACGUCAACAGGAACCCGCAGGCCCGGCCUGGACACCUGCUGCCCUCACUGGAAGCUUUAACUCCCACUCGAGUCUCUUGGCGUCGUCAGUGCCAGGAGCGCUUGGAUUGGGAUGGGGACGGAGAAGGGUGCCUCGCUCGCCGAGCCCCGCUGCCCUUGGGGACCUGGCAAAGUCGAGGUUUCCUCACAGCGUUGAGAUUGAGACUGGGGGUCGGCAGCACUGAGAAGUGAAGGAAUAUUUGGGAGGAUCAGAAGCUUGGUCCUGAUUUUGCCAUCAACAGGAACUUGAUGACUUCAAGGGAGUCCCCAAACCCUGGGUUUCUGUUUUCUCAACUCUAACAUGAGGGGCUAGAUGCAUCUGGUUUAGUUAGUCUCCAUGAUGGUUUAGUUCGUCUCCAUGAUCCUGUGAAUUUCAGAUGUUGAAAAUCUUCGGAAAAGCCCUGAAAGAUGAACAGUGGUCUCAAAUAGUCAAGACCCCCUGCUGGGAGGAGCUUCUAUCCUGCUCUGUGGAAGAAAUGGGCAUGCCAGAUGCCUGGAAGAUCAGAGGCUCACAUUCCAGCUGUAGGUGGCCCACCAGGUGUCAACAACUGUAGAGUUCCAUCAAGAGUCAUCAUUUUACAGUUACAAGUCGGAGGGGCCUUCACAGAUCCGUCAGGCUCAACACUGCCUCCUUAGUGAGCCUGUGAACCACCCAAGACGGCUGGUCAUCAGUGUCAUCCUCUUCCUUUUCCGGACAACUAUCUUUAAAAGAAAAAAAAAGAGUGUCUUUGAAUGUAUCCAUUUUAUCCCCAAAUAAUCUUGUUUAAUAAAUUCCUUAUUAGGCCAAA
rnacentral:lncRNA from 1 species